AUUUGAUUGUAUUUGGAAAGUAAAAAAAAAUAACUUUAUAGGUCUCAAAUUUUCUCCCAAGUAUAUAUUAUAAAGCAGCUUUAAUUGGUUAACAUGAAUCUAUGUACUUGAAUUUAAGUAAAAUUUCACAGGAGAAUGCCACUGAAUUGUGAAAAAAAUAAAUGUGGUACAGAACAUCUAUGAAAGGUUUGGAUUUGCUUGCAUUUCUCUGCAAGUUCCUCGUUGCUUCCCUGCUUCAUGCUAGUUUGUAGCAGGAAUUUGUUACAUACACAUUUUUAGCUGACUAAACUCUUUCCUACAAAAAGGAAUGGAGAAUUUUAUUUUUUAUUUUGUCUUUUUUCCUUUUCUGGGGCCGCUCCCUUGGCAUAUGGAGGUUCCCAGGCUAGGGGUCUAAUUGGAGCUGUAGCCACCGGCCUACGUCAGAGCCGCAGCAACAAAGGAUCCGAGCCGCGUCUGCAACCUACACCACAGCUCAUGGCAACGUCGGAUCCUUAACCCACUGAGCAAGGCCAGGGAUCGAACCCGCAACCUUGUGGUUCCUAGAUGGAUUCAUUAACCACUGAGCCACAAUAGGAACACCAAGGAAUGGAGAAUUUUAAAAUGAACUUCUCAAAAUUCUUUUCAGCUUAUUAUCUCUUAGACAUAACACUUUGUCCUUCUUUGCUUUGUAUUUCCUUGGUUUACUUCUGAUUUUCUACAAGUUGACUAGCUUGUACAAAGUUCACAUUUAAUCCAACCCACUGAGGUCUUCAAGAAUGACUUCUUGGGGAGGGAGAAAAAAUAGGCAGAGGACUUUUAAGGCACUGAAACUGCUUUGUACAACACUGUAAUGAUAGAGACAUGUCACUAUACCUGUGUCCCAACCUAUAGGGUGUACCACACCAAGAGUGCCCCUUGGUAAAGGGUGGAGUUUAGGUGAUAGUGACAUGUCAGUGGAGGAUCAUUGGCUCUAACAAAUUUACCAUGUGAUGGGGAUGUGUGUGUGUAAGUGGGAAGGCACUGUGUGGGAAAUCCCUGUACCUUGCCCUCAAUUUUGCCUAUGAGCCCAAAACUGCUUUGAAAAAAAUAAAAUCACUUAAAGAAAAAAAAUGAAUACUUUUUAAGUAGAUAACAGCCAACAUGAACAUUUUCCAAAUCUGCAUCUAUUAUUACGAACAUGAGAGUGGUCCCUGUCUGCACUAUCUUAACAAAUGCUCAACUGAAAAAGUUUAGAGCAGAAGGCUUUACAUUUUCCUUAAAAGGCUAAGCAUUUUUACAAACUUCUGCUUUCUGUCAACUGCAUCAGGAUCAAUCCUCUUCCAGACUCAUAAUUUUAGAAAAGACUCCACUUCUGUUAUCUCUAGCCUACCUUUCAAAUGACAUUGAUAGCAAAUAUAGCCGCCAAUAAAUUAGUUUAGUUAUCAGUUGUCACUUUAGAGACAAAAAGGGAAUACCUGCAAUUGAUAACCCUUUUCUAGAAUUGACACAGUUAGGUGAUUGAGAUGUGGACAGAAUGCAUGUUUUCAGACUUUUUAAGUCAUUGCUUUUUCAUGCUACCUCACAGAACUUAAGAUAUAUUGUAGUAGAUAGAAGAAAAUGAUCCCUGUAUUUAUUUCAUCAUGGAAUGAAAUUUCAAAUCUCCUCAAAUUCUUCCCUUGAGACCUCCUAAAAUAUCUGACUUUACUACAUAAUCUUGUCCCUUUGAUGCCUUCAACGUGAAACUUACUCUCAAGCAGCCUGAAAGCCAUCCAUUCUCCAUCAUGUGUGGGUCAUCCUUUCACUUUUUUUUGGCUGAGGCACUGAGGAUGGGGUGCUGAGAAUGGAGAGAGAGUGAAAAGGAAUGUAAAGGGAUGCUUGAACCACCUAUCUAACCUAUCCCUUUGUCUGGGGCCCAGGGGACUCAGCAUUGCCCUUUUAGCACCACACCUCUCAGCCUCUGUGGGUUGAACCCCCUCAUCAGUCCCCAGUCACUGAAGCAGCUUCUCAGGCUGUCCUAUUUUUAGACUUUUCAUUCUCAUCUAUUUCAUCCAGCAGGCUCCCGUGUCCAUGACUGUCAUUUAAAUCAUGUCAUUUUCUUUUUCUGUUCAGAAACCAAUACCUUUCUUAUGUAUCCUCUCUCAAGAACAUUGCCAUUGUCUCUGUAAUAACUUUCAUUUCUAAUCAUGCCCACCAAGUGGCCCGUCCAUGAAACCAAGGGCUCACACCUCUUCUAAUUGGCUUUCUCUGCUUCCACCUCUGGACUCUCACACAUGACACCCUCUUCUGUAAGGCUCACCAGCCUCUUCCCCAGCUGUUUAAAAUACAACUCUCCCAUUAAACCUUUUCAAAUAUCAUUCAGAGCCCUCCACCUCAACUGCUCUGGUGAUCUCUCAGCGUUCAUAAAUGAUAUGUGAUUCAUGAGUCCCGGCCAUUCAGUAUGUUUAUCGGGUUUUUAUUGGUGUCCUUGUACAUUUAAAAAAUUUUUGACAAAUCAUCCCUCUGGAAAUAGAAUAGCUUUAAGACAAACACCAUGACUUUUGCCUCCUCUGUUAUUCCCUGGGGCUCUAAAUGUUAGGAUUUGCAUGCAGGAAUCAGUCGAUAAUGACCAAUUGACAGUGAUGGACUGCUUUCAAAUGGCAAACUGUCUGCCCUUUAGAAGAAUUGUUACUCUCCUGAUCUUCCUCCCCAGACCUGGAUAUUUGCAACCAUAUGCAAAGGCCUUUCCUCCUUCCUUCUCCUGGCGUCCUGCUCAUCCCAUGAGUGGGCACUCCCAGGACUUGCUAUUCCACUCAAACAUGGUCCUGUCCUAACAGCAGCAGCUUUACCAGGGAUCUUGUUAAAAAUGCAGAAUGCUAGGCCUGCAGCACACCUAAAGAAGUGGUACUGGUGUUUUUACAUAAUCUUCCUCGGAUGAUUUUAUGCCCAUUAGAGCUUGAAAAGCAUCGGUUUAAAGGGAGCAAUUUUUCUCUCUUUGGAAAAUCCUGCCCCAUAUAACUGGGGUGUUCAUAGCCUGCAGCUUCUUUCUUUCAUAUCCAGAAUUUCAGUGACUCAAAACAGGUGCCCUGUCAAAUGUCAAACUGAGUCAGUAUAUGUCUACAAAAUAAAAUUCCUCUAGAUCUUGAAAUUUCACCCAUGUAGUUUUCUGAGUCACCUGAUAGUCUAUACCUAUCUAUAGUGAGAACUGGAUCAGUACUUAUAGCUAUUAAAUCAGCAAAUAGCUGUUCAUCAGCUAGUCUGUGUAUGGCACUGAAUUGUGUAUUAUGGGAUUUAAAUAAGUAUUCAAUCCUCCUUCCCUGUUUCCAAAGAGCUUGCAGCCUAUUGGUCUAUUUAUUUUAUACUGACAUAACAGUAAAUACUUUUUCCUCAUUUGCCAAAUGAGUAAGUUUUGUGAUUAUUUCAUUAAUUUACCCUACAAGGAAAGGUUUACUGCUUAAAUGUAAACUGAGCAAAAACCCCACUGAUAUCUGAUGGUCAUAACCCCCACAUCCAGGUGGUCACCCCUAAAUGAAGAUGAUAAAUCUCUACAGAGAUAACCACCUUGCCAAUGAACUUUAAUUCUGAAGGUGAAAUUAUCAAGGAAGCCUAUUCUUUUGUUCUUUUUCAGCCCAGCUUGUCUUCCACAAAUAACCUGAAUCAAUUUACCAAUAAUCUUUGUCUUACUGGAAUGGCCUCCUACCUAUUCUCAUCUUUCCCAAUCUUCUACAAGAAAAGAAACCUUGUACUAGAUGAUUACAACUAUAUGUAACUUUAUGAUCAUCAUAGUUUCAAAAUUUCUUUCCAUUUCCUUUCAUGGCAUCAGUGAAACAAGGUAGGUUGAACCUUCUGACACUGGCACCAUUCUGUUGCUUUUUAUCUACAAAAAUGGCAAAUUCUACAAGGUUCAAAUGAGUUCCAUUUCUGUUUCAAAAAUUGAAAAUUAUUUUAUUUUGGUUAAUAUAUAAAGUGAAUUAUAAUUAAUUUUUCCCAGCUAAAAAUGUUACUGAUUCAAGCUAAUAUUGAAUAAAUAAAAUUAUGAAAUCUAUAAGCAAUGGCUAUAAAUCAUCACAUAUUUUAUAGGAUAAUUUGUACCUUAUUAAAAGAGAAGGCCUUUUUUCAUUUGUUGUCAUUUACUGAAUAUACUUUAACAAGGCUAUCUUAAUAAGGGAUGGUUUAACAUAAAAUUAGAGUAAAUAGUUAGUAAACCAUACAAAUAAAAUACACUCAAAUAUAAUAAUUGAAAUCCAAAGAUAAUUCAUUCUAAAACACCCAUGGACUCCAACCCUUCUUUCCACUUUCAGAGCUCUAAAUAGCUAUUUUCAAAAAUGAGGUAGAAUAUGCUUAUGGUGAAAUGCACAUGCAGUAAUUGUAUAAUUCAGUGAUUUCUGACAAAUUACUGAUGCCAACAAAUGUAGCAAACACCCUAGAUGAAGGCACAGAACAUUUCUGUACCACAUAAAGUUCUUUUCUGCACCUUAUAUUCGAUUCCUUCUCCUUCCCUCCAUAGGCCAAUUUCAUGACAUUUAUUCCCAUAAAUUGACUUCAUCUGGUCUUUAUGUAAAUGGAAUAAUAGAGACAUCUCUUAUGUCUGGCUUCUGUCUCUCACUAUAAUGUCUUAAAAAUUCAUUACCUUUGUUGAAUGUAUCAAAAACCCAUUCUUAUUGUUGGGUAAUAUUCUGUUGCAUAAAUGUAUCGAUGUGUAUUAAUCCAUUUUCCACUGAAGAAGAUUUUAGUUGUUUCAGUUUUGGCUAUAUGAACAAAUCUGUGAUUAAUAUUCUUAUACAAUAUAUUGUGUGGACAUAUAUUUUCAUUAUACUGGGAGAAACAGAGUGGGAUUCCUAAGUUACAAGGUAUGUGUAUGUUUAAGUAAUAUAUAUGUUACAGAAUAUGUUUAAAAAAGAGAUUUUAAAAAUCAGAAAAAACUUUUAAUGAAACAGAAUUAAGUAAUGUACAUGAUGUAGUUCAAAGUAAUUGUCAUAAAAAUUCUCACUUAAUUUGGCAAGAAAAUGGGUAAACACAAUAAAAACUCCAGAGGGAUAUAAAAUAUCAGAAAUUACCAAGUAGAAGACACAGCACUGAAGAAUAGAGUCACUAAACUUAAAAAAACACAAGGGAGAUUCAACUGCAGACUAAAUGAAACAGAAGAAAGGAUCAGUGAUCUGGAAGACAGGGCAGUGGAACUAACCCAAAUAGAAUAGCCAAAAGAAAAAAAGUUUAAAGAGUGUUCAUAGCUUAAGGGACUUACAGUACAACAUCAAGCAAAAUAACAUUCACAGUUAGGAGUCCCAUGUGCAGAAGAGAGUGAAAGUAGCAUAAAACUUAUUUGAAGAAAUAAUCACCAACCUUUGACUAACCUGGGGGAGAACACAGACAUACAUGUCCAGGGAGUUUAGAGAGUUCCAAAUAGGAUGAAUCCCAAGAGAUGAGCACAAAGAUGUUUUAUAAUUAAAAUGUCAAAGACAAAGAGUGAAUUUAAAAAGCAGCAAGAGUAAAGUAACAUGUUACCUACAAGGUAACCCCCAUAAGACUAUCAGCAGAUUUUCAGCAGAAAAUUUGCACACCAAAAGGGACUUUAGUACCCUGUUUACAUGAAUGGACAGAUCAUCAAAUUAAUAAGAAAAUACUGGUCUGAAAUGAUACAUUAAAUCAGACGGUAUUAACAGAUUGUGUACAAAAUGGUCCACCCCAAAUCAAUACUCAUUCUUCUCAUGUGCACAUGGAACAUUCACUAGAACAGAUCAUGUUAGAACACAAAAUAAGUCUAGUAUACAUCUAAGGAUGACCUGACCCCCUUGCUGUACAGUGGGAAAAUAAUAAAAAAAAAAUAAAUAAAAAAUAAAAUAAAAUAAAAAUAAAAAAAACAAAAAAA
rnacentral:lncRNA from 1 species